GCCAGGCAUGGUGGUGCGUGCCUGUAGUCCCAGCUACUCGGGAGGCUGAGGCUGGAGGGUCCCUUGAGCCCAGGAGUUCUGGGCUAUGGUGCGCUAUGCCAAUUGGGUGUCCACACUAAGUUUGGCAUCAAUAUGGUGACCUCCCGGGAGUGGGGGACCACCAGGUUGCCUAAGGAGGGGUGAACCAGUCCAGGUCAGAAACAGAGUAGGUCAAAACUCCCGUGCUGAUCAGUAGUGGGAUCGCGCCUGUGAAUAGCCACUGCACUCCAGCCUGGGCAACAUAGCAAGACCAAGUCUCA
rnacentral:SRP_RNA from 1 species